rnacentral:rRNA from 1 species
GACGAACGCUGGCGGCGUGCCUAAUACAUGCAAGUUGAGCGAUGAAGAUUGGUGCUUGCACCAAUUUGAAGAGCAGCGAACGGGUGAGUAACGCGUGGGGAAUCUGCCUUUGAGCGGGGGACAACAUUUGGAAACGAAUGCUAAUACCGCAUAACAACUUUAAACAUAAGUUUUAAGUUUGAAAGAUUCAAUUGCAUCACUCAAAGAUGAUCCCGCGUUGUAUUAGCUAGUUGGUUAGGUAAAGGCUCACCAAGGCGAUGAUACAUAGACGAACUGAGAGGGUGAUCGGAAAAAAUGGGAAUGAGAAAAGGCAAAAAAGCAAAAGGGAGGGAGCAGUAGGGAAAAAGAGGAAAUGGAAGAAAGUAAGAAAGAGAAAAGACGAGUGAGUGAAGAAGGUUUUCGGAUCGGAAAACUCUGUUGGUAGAGAAGAACGUUGGUGAGAGUGGAAAGCUCAUAAAGUGACGGUAACGAACCAGAAAGGGACGGCUAACUACGUG